CCUACGGGAGGCAGCAGUGGGGAAUAUUGCACAAUGGGGGAAACCCUGAUGCAGCGACGCCGCGUGAGUGAAGAAGUAUCUCGGUACGUAAAGCUCUAUUAGUAGGGAAGAUAAUGACGGUACCUGACCAAGAAGCCCCGGCUAACUACGUGCCAGCAGCCGCGGUAAUACGUAGGGGGCAAGCGUUAUCCGGAUUUACUGGGGGUAAAGGGGGCGUAGUCGGUAGCACAAGUCAGAAGUGAAAUCCCGGGGCUUAACCCCGGAACUGCCUUGGAAACUGUGCGGCUGGAGUGCAGGAGGGGUAAGCGGAAUUCCUGGUGUAGCGGUGAAAUGCGUAGAGAUUAGGAGGAACACCGGUGGCGAAGGCGGCUUACUAGACUAUAACUGACGUUGAGGCUCGAAAGCGUGGGGAGCAAACAGGAUUAGAUACCCUGGUAGUC
rnacentral:rRNA from 1 species